CGCCUCCCGCCAACUUAUGGGAGGCCCAGCCUGCCCAGUGACAUCGUUUAACGGCCUCGGUACCCUAACCGCGCGAAGGUAGCAUAAUCACUUGUUCUUUAAAUAGGGACUUGUAUCAACGGCACCACGAGGGCUAGACUGUCUCCCCUCUCCAAUCAAUGAACCUGAUUUCUUCGUGAAGAAGCGAAGAUAUACAUAUAAGACGAGAAGACCCCAUGGAGCUUAAAACCAAAUAACACCUUUCUACCCACAAACUUGAUAAAAAGUAAGCCUGUUAGCUAGUUUUCGGCUGGGGCAUCCAAGGAGUAUAACACAACCUCCCUGAUAAAAAUCUAAGAACCACAAUUCUAUGAAGCAGUAAACUGAUCUUAAAUGACCCGACACAACUCGACCAACGAACCAAGUUACCCUGGGGAUAACAGCGCAAUCCAUUUCAAGAGCUCCUAUCGACAAAUGGGUUUACGACCUCGAUGUUGGAUCAGGGUACCCCAGUGGUGCAGCCGCUACUAAAGGUUCGUUUGUUCAACGAUUAAAAC
rnacentral:rRNA from 1 species